rnacentral:rRNA from 1 species
GGCGGGAAGGUAAGUNGAAUGUGAAAUUUANGGGCUCAACCCAUAAANUGCGUUCAAAACUAUUUUUCUUGAGUAANGUAGAGGCAGGCGGAAUUCCUAGUGUAGCGGUGGAAUGCGUAGAUAUUAGGAGGAACACCAGUGGCGANGGCGGCUUGCUGGGCUUUUACUGACGNUGAGGCUCGAAAGCGUGGGGAGCAAACAGGAUUAGAUACCCUGGUAGUCCACGCCGUAAACGAUGAUUACUAGGUGUGGGAGGUAACCCUUCCGUGCCGGAGUUAACACAUUAAGUAAUCCACCUGGGGAGUACGUUCGCAAGAAUGAAACUCAAAGGAAUNNACGGGGGCCCGCACAAGCAGUGGAGUAUGUGGUUUAAUUCGACGCAACGCGAAGAACCUUACCAGGUCUUGACAUCCCUUGACGACUCUAGAGAUAGAGAGUUCCUUUCGGGGACAAGGAGACAGGUGGUGCAUGGUNGUCGUCAGCUCGUGUCGUGAGAUGUUGGGUUAAGUCCCGCAACGAGCGCAACCCUUACGGAUAGUUGCUACNCAAGAGCACUCUAUUCGGACCGCCGUUGAUAAAACGGAGGAAGGCGGGGACGACGUCAAAUCAUCAUGCCCCUUAUGNCCUGGGCUNCACACGUACUACAAUGGCUGUAAACAAAGAGAAGCAAAACUGCGAAGUGGAGCAAAUCUCAAAAGACAGUCUCAGUUCGGAUUGUAGGCUGCAACUNGCCUACAUGAAGCUGAAAUUGCUAGUAAUCGCGGAUCANCAUGCCGCGGUGAAUACGUUCCCGNGCCUUGUACACACCGCCCGUCAUCUUGCUGAAAA